UACAGAGGGUGCGAGCGUUGUUCGGAAUUACUGGGCGUAAAGGGCUCGUAGGUGGCCAACUAAGUCAGACGUGAAAUCCCUCGGCUUAACCGGGGAACUGCGUCUGAUACUGGAUGGCUUGAGUUUGGGAGAGGGAUGCGGAAUUCCAGGUGUAGCGGUGAAAUGCGUAGAUAUCUGGAGGAACACCGGUGGCGAAGGCGGCAUCCUGGACCAACACUGACGCUGAGUGAGCGAAAGCCAGGGGAGCAAACGGG
rnacentral:rRNA from 1 species